GAGUUUGAUCUUGGCUCAGAUUGAACGCUGGCGGCAGGCCUAACACAUGCAAGUCGAGCGGAUGAAGGGAGCUUGCUCCUGGAUUCAGCGGCGGACGGGUGAGUAAUGCCUAGGAAUCUGCCUGGUAGUGGGGAUAACGUCCGGAACGGGCGCUAAUACCGCAUACGUCCUGAGGGAGGAAAGUGGGGGAGUCUUCGGACCUCACGCUAUCAGACGAGCCUAGGUCGGAUUAGCUAGUUGGUGGGGUAAAGGCCUACCAAGGCGACGAUCCGUAACUGGUCUGAGAGGAUGAUCAGUCACACUGGAACUGAGACACGGUCCAGACUCCUACGGGAGGGCAGCAGUGGGGAAGUAAUUGGACGAAUGGGCGGAAAGGACCUCGAUCC
rnacentral:rRNA from 1 species